rnacentral:rRNA from 1 species
UAAGCAAGCAUUAAGCGUGUGGCUUAACCAUACAGAUGUGCUUUGAACUGUUGAACUAGAGUGUAAGAGAGGUUACUGGAAUUUCUUGUGUAGGAGUGAAAUCCGUAGAUAUAAGAAGGAACACCGAUGGCGUAGGCAGGUAACUGGCUUACUACUGACGCUCAGGCACGAAAGCGUGGGGAGCGAACCGGAUUAGAUACCCGGGUAGUCCACGCCGUAAACGAUGGAUGCUA